rnacentral:lncRNA from 1 species
GAAAAGAUGGCUUUCCUUUGGGGAAAUGGCCAACGCUGCAGAAUGCUGCUGAGGGUCAAAUAAGGUAAGAGCUGAAAAGUGUCCACAGGACUUGACAAGUAGGUCAUUGGCGAUCUCAGUGAGAACAGCUUCACUGGCACGGUGAAGGCGGGCGGAGAGGAGGGGGAGGUGGUAAGGAGGGCACUCUUUCAGGAAGUUUAUCUUCGAAGGGAAGGAGACAGUGUUAAGGAGCAGGAUGGGGACAGUGAGGGUUGGACAGCAUGUUCAAUGCUUAUAGGGAGGGGCAUGCAGAGAAGGAACAUUGUAGCUACAGAAGGGAGGGCGUCUGGAAGGCUGGAGGGGAGAGCAUCAGUGAAGGGAGGGCCUUGGAUGGAAGGUGGUUUGGCUCUUCCGCUGUGCGGGUGGUUGGGGGAAGGAAAGAUAGGAGGAAGAUGCUGAUGUGGGUGUUCCUCACUGGGUAGCUCUUCUCCAAGUAGUGACUCAAGAACCCUUGUUGCUUUCACCUGGUGCCUCUGGCAUCUUCU